rnacentral:tRNA from 1 species
GCGGGUGUGGCGGAACUGGCAGACGCGCAGGAUUUAGGUUCCUGUGCCGCAAGGCGUGGAGGUUCGAGUCCUCUCACCCGCA